rnacentral:tRNA from 1 species
GGAGAGAUGGCUGAGCGGACGAAAGCGCCGGUCUCGAAAACCGGUAURGGGGCAACCUYAUCGUGGGUUCGAAUCCCACUCUCUCCGCCA